rnacentral:rRNA from 1 species
UUUGCCUACGGGAGGCAGCAGUGGGGAAUAUUGCACAAUGGGGGAAACCCUGAUGCAGCGACGCCGCGUGAGUGAAGAAGUAUUUCGGUAUGUAAAGCUCUAUCAGCAGGGAAGAAGUUGACGGUACCUGAGUAAGAAGCCCCGGCUAACUACGUGCCAGCAGCCGCGGUAAUACGUAGGGGGCAAGCGUUAUCCGGAUUUACUGGGUGUAAAGGGAGCGUAGACGGCAGUGCAAGUCUGAAGUGAAAGCCCCGGGCUUAACCCGGGAAUUGCUUUGGAAACUGUACGGCUGGAGUGCUGGAGAG